rnacentral:rRNA from 1 species
UCACUCCAGAAAGGUCUGAAGAGACUGCAAGACUUGAGAUCGGGUGAGGUUAAACGUACUUUCAGGGAUAGGGGUAAAAUCCUGUAAUCCCGGAAGGACGACCAGUGGCGAAAGCGUUUAACUAGAACGAAUCUGACGGUAAGGAACGAAGGCUAGGGUAGCAAACCGGAUUAGAUACCCGGGUAGUCCUAGCUGUAAACAUUGCCCAUUUGAUGUUGCUUUCCCGUUGAGGGAAGGCAGUGUCGGAGCGAAGGUGUUAAAUGGGCCGCUUGGGAAGUAUGGUCGCAAGACUGAAACUUAAAGGAAUUGGCGGGGGAGCACCGCAACGGGAGGAAUGUGCGGUUUAAUUGGAUUCAACGCCGGAAAACUCACCGGGAACGACCUGUGCAUGAGAGUCAACUUGACGAGCUUACCUCGAUAGCAGGAGAGGUGGUGCAUGGCCGUCGUCAGCUCGUACCGUAGGGCGUCACUUAAGUGUGAUAACGAGCGAGACCCACAUCUUUAAUUGCAAAUGUAUAUGGGAAUAUGCAUGCACUUU